rnacentral:rRNA from 1 species
AUAGGGGAGCCGAAGGGAAACCGAGUCUUAACUGGGCGUUAAGUUGCAGGGUAUAGACCCGAAACCCGGUGAUCUAGCCAUGGGCAGGUUGAAGGUUGGGUAACACUAACUGGAGGACCGAACCGACUAAUGUUGAAAAAUUAGCGGAUGACUUGUGGCUGGGGGUGAAAGGCCAAUCAAACCGGGAGAUAGCUGGUUCUCCCCGAAAGCUAUUUAGGUAGCGCCUCGUGAACUCAUCUUCGGGGGUAGAGCACUGUUUCGGCUAGGGGGUCAUCCCGACUUACCAACCCGAUGCAAACUGCGAAUACCGAAGAAUGUUAUCACGGGAGACACACGGCGGGUGCUAACGUCCGUCGUGAAGAGGGAAACAACCCAGACCGCCAGCUAAGGUCCCAAAGUCACAGUUAAGUGGGAAACGAUGUGGGAAGGCUCAGACAGCCAGGAUGUUGGCUUAGAAGCAGCCAUCAUUUAAAGAAAGCGUAAUAGCUCACUGGUCGAGUCGGCCUGCGCGGAAGAUGUAACGGGGCUAAACUGUGCACCGAAGCUGCGGCAGCGACGCUUAUGCGUUGUUGGGUAGGGGAGCGUUCUGUAAGCCUGCGAAGGUGUCCUGUGAGGGAUGCUGGAGGUAUCAGAAGUGCGAAUGCUGACAUAAGUAACGAUAAUGCGGGUGAAAAGCCCGCUCGCCGGAAGACCAAGGGUUCCUGUCCAACGUUAAUCGGGGCAGGGUGAGUCGACCCCUAAGGCGAGGCCGAAAGGCGUAGUCGAUGGGAAACGGGUUAAUAUUCCCGUACUUGGUGUUACUGCGAAGGGGGGACGGAGAAGGCUAUGUUGGCCGGGCGACGGUUGUCCCGGUUUAAGCGUGUAGGCUG